UUGGGAAGACUUACUGGUGGAAUUUCAGGCAUCGGGACCCGGUACUGUGCGCCAAGCAUUCAAAGACAACACUCGGGAGAUCUUCAUAGCAGCCCUCAAAGUAGGUUUUAGCCUCUGCUCAGAGUAACUGUUAAAUAACUCCAUGGAGGUUACAACAGCAGAACAGCAGAGGCUGGUGGAGCCACAGUUGAAGUUCAGGUCUGGCUGAUACUGGGAGAGUGUUUUUUCCCUCUUCCAUGGUGUAUUCAUCAAGCACUGGGCCUGACACCAGGGGACACAGAUAAACCAGAACCCCUGCCCUGCGGAAGCUGG
rnacentral:lncRNA from 1 species